rnacentral:rRNA from 1 species
GACAGAGGGCGCAAGCGUUGUCCGGAAUCACUGGGCGUAAAGGGCGCGUAGGCGGCCUGAUAAGUAGGGGGUGAAAUCCUGCGGCUUAACCGCAGGGCUGCCUUCUAAACUGUCGGGCUAGAGCACGGUAGAGGCAGAUGGAAUUCCCGGUGUAGCGGUGGAAUGCGUAGAGAUCGGGAAGAACAUCAGUGGCGAAGGCGGUCUGCUGGGCCGUUGCUGACGCUGAGGCGCGACAGCGUGGGGAGCAAACAGG